UGAGUAACACGUAUCCAACCUGCCGUCUACUCUUGGACAGCCUUCUGAAAGGAAGAUUAAUACAAGAUGGCAUCAUGAGUCCGCAUGUUCACAUGAUUAAAGGUAUUCCGGUAGACGAUGGGGAUGCGUUCCAUUAGAGAGUAGGCGGGGUAACGGCCCACCUAGUCUUCGAUGGAUAGGGGUUCUGAGAGGAAGGUCCCCCACAUUGGAACUGAGACACGGUCCAA
rnacentral:rRNA from 1 species